rnacentral:tRNA from 1 species
GCCUCUGUAGCUUAAAACAAAGCACUG